ACCUCCUUGUAUAAGCACUGUGCUAAAAUUGCAGAAACCAGAAUCCUGUCUUGGUUCUGUAAUAAUGUCAGCCAAGUACACACAAGAAGGAAAAUAUCUGCAGAGAUCUUGAAGACUGGAUUAGAACUCAUUCUUAAUGUCCAGAGUCCUUUGUCUUAAGAUUUGGUGCUAUAUGC